rfam:Xylona heveae TC161 unplaced genomic scaffold L228scaffold_5, whole genome shotgun sequence.
UCCUCUAUGGCGCAAUUGGCUAGCGCGUCCGGCUGUUAAUCAACUGGUUUACCGGGAGGUUGGUGGUUCGAGCCCACCUGGAGGAG